rnacentral:rRNA from 1 species
GAUGAACGCUGGCGGCGUGCCUAAUACAUGCAAGUCGAGCGAACAGAUGAGGAGCUUGCUCCUCUGACGUUAGCGGCGGACGGGUGAGUAACACGUGGAUAACCUACCUAUAAGACUGGGAUAACUUCGGGAAACCGGAGCUAAUACCGGAUAAUAUAUUGAACCGCAUGGUUCAAUAGUGAAAGACGGUUUUGCUGUCACUUAUAGAUGGAUCCGCGCCGCAUUAGCUAGUUGGUAAGGUAACGGCUUACCAAGGCAACGAUGCGUAGCCGACCUGAGAGAGGGAGCGGCCACACUGGAACUGAGACACGGUCCAGACUCCUACGGGAGGCAGCAGUAGGGAAUCUUCCGCAAUGGGCGAAAGCCUGACGGAGCAACGCCGCGUGAGUGAUGAAGGUCUUCGGAUCGUAAAACUCUGUUAUUAGGGAAGAACAAAUGUGUAAGUAACUAUGCACGUCUUGACGGUACCUAAUCAGAAAGCCACGGCUAACUACGUG